UUUUUCUUUCAAAACUCUUCACUUCAAAUUGUAUGCUUCCUAUGUGAUUAGAAUAUAUAGUACAUAUGCACUCACUAGAUAGGAACUCACAUAUUAAAGAGUGAGUUACUCCUUAUUUUAGAGUUUCCAUGCUCCAUAUUAGUUGUAACAUCAAACAGUUUUUUGUUGUUAUGUUUUCCCAUCACAGGGAAAAACACAAAAUAAAAGAACAAAGAAUAGAAAAGGAAAAGAGAACGUUUGGUUUGCUUGAGACCCAAAACUCCCUUAGUCAGUUAGUCCCUUAUUUUAGGAUUAAAUUUCUGCUUGUCCAUUCUUCCAAAUAACACUCCCUUUUAUAGGGUUGAUUA